ensembl:lncRNA EMX2OS EMX2 opposite strand/antisense RNA
GUCCCUGGCCGGCGCCGCCUCCGCUGCGGCCCCCUGAAUCCCGAGCCUGCCUCGCCCAAGCUGGUAGGACAGAAGGACAGACAGAUUCCUCUAGCCUAGCGCUCCGCCGCUGCUGCCUUACGCGGCCCCGCGUCGGGAGAACUGGGAUCGCCCCAAGAGCACCGCGAGGGGUCAUCUCAGGCUGGCUGCAUGCCUCAGCUGAAGAUCCCAGCUCCUGUCAAUGCCACCUCUCUGCUUGACUGUCUCCUUCCAGAUUCGGUAUGAGCUGGGAAGAAUGAAGGCAGGGCAUGCCCGUGUGCCAGCUCUGCACAGCUGGAUAGCUGAGGAAAGAUGUGGAGGAGAAGCCGGGGAUUGUGUGGAAGUCUAAGGGUGUUGUUUGCCCUUUGGGUUCCAGAAGAUGCAUGCCAGGACCCUGGGUGGCACUGCCAGGAAGCAACAGAGAGGAGAUAAAACUCACAGCAGACAGACUUGCCUUAACAACAACUCCCUUGAAUUAAAACACGCUUUUCAAGAAAACAAAUUAUCAGUUCGAUCAGCAAACAGCAGAGAAGUUUCUCUCAUAAUGGCAAAGAAGGGCCGGGUUGCUGACCAGUGAAAGAGCUUCAGAAAAGGAGAGGGGAGAUGAGAUGGCCAGAAGGAGCAAGAGCACCGUACAUCCCUGGACAACCUCAUUCUAAUGGGUCAGGGGCUGGGACGUGCAUUUUGGAGUGCAGGAGAAGUGGCAACUCACAAAUGCUAGAUUUUCUUCUAGAGAUGACCAAGCUGUAGUUCUUAAAGCAGUGGCACUAGGGCAGAAAACUCUCACACUUUGAUGUGCACACACAGCCCCUGGGGAUCUUGUUGACAUGUAGAUUCUGAUUCCGUAAGUCGGGCUGAGAUUCUGCAUUUCCAACAAGCUCCUAGAUGAGGUCCAUUUUGCUGGUCCAUGAAACACACUUAGAAUAAGUAGCAAGGUAUAGGAGGAUACUGACUUUGCUCAGUGAUGCUUGGGCUUCCGUCCAAACUAAAAUAAAACAAAAGCAGACAUAAAUGGCCCAAUUCAACAGCCUGAGAAGUUUGGUGAUAAUGACCCAAGCCCUGGCCUGGUGACCAAGUGGCUGCUCAGAGAGCUCUAUCUCCAAACUCCUUCCCUUCCUGCCUCCCCUCCAAGAGUGAGUAAUGUGCCAGAGUUCAUUGGGGUCUGCUGUCCCCAGGGAAAGGUGGCCCAGUUGCCAAGUGCAAGUGUAUAGAACGGCUUACCUGUGCAAAGCUAUCAGCCCUGGACCUAUGGGCCUAGAAACAUUACUUGCCACUCACUCACUCACUAUCAUUCAUUCAUUUCUGCAACAAACACUUCCUGAGCAUAUGCUAUACACCAGGCCCUGAGCUCAGCUCUGGGGAUACAGGAUGAAUGGCAGAUUGUGCCAUCAGGAAGCCGACUGCACAGUCAGCCCGCUGGAGCACAUAUGAAAAACAAUACGGAUGUUUUGAUUUAUUAUCAUAUUGAUCAUUAUGAUGGUAGCGUAUACUUUUGGAAGGCUUGCCAUACAUUAGGCAUUGUGCUAAGCACAUUAUAUGGUUAAUCUCAUCAAUCUUCACAACCUAUGUGGCAGGUACUAUUAUUAAACCCACUUCAAAGAGGAGGGAACUGAACCUCAGAGAGGGUAAGUGACUUGCACAAGGACACAAGCUAGUGAGGAGAGGAACUGAGAGGAAUGGCCAGACAGGCCAUCAGCCUCUGUCCCCACAUGCUGGGUCUGAGUGUCUGACGGUGGACACAUUCCCUUCCUGGAGGGAGAGCUCCUAGGGAGCUGAUGGCAGCACUGAGUCUGGAAUGUGAUGGGAGUGCAUUAGAUGACGUGGGUGAUCUGAUGAGUACAGAGGCGUCACACUGCAAUGACUUCAUGCACAUAUCUCCCCUUGAAUGCACAGAGAUUCAGCAGAGGCCAGGAGCUCAAGUUUCUGGCCCAGUGUCCCCCUCUUCCCCUGGGGAAAGCCAGGGACACACUGCCUGGCUUUGCUACACCUUUCUAGGCAAAGGCAGUAUGCUCUCCCUCUCCUUGGCCUCCCUGGCUGUCCACACAUCCACACCCACUCACACACACAUGCACAUGAUCAUACACAUUACACAAGCCCACAUGCCCACAGACAUGCUCACACUCACACUCACAUGCAUACACUGCCAUACACAACACACAUACAUACAUUCACACACACUUGUGCUUCACACACACACACCAAUUCUAUCAUUUAAUACAUUUUGGAAAGGCUACAUACUACUACAGCCUCUUUUACAGAUUAGCAAUGUCCAUGAGCGCACUAAAGGUUGAGACAUUCUGCAGUGAAGAAGCCUAUUUCAUUUUGUUUAACCAAGUAUUUCUCAAAUUUAUUUGAUCAUAUGUGGCAGAAAAUGCUGUGUCUGGCAUUCUUCAUUUCCCUCUUCCUCCUUUAACAUGGAACCCCUGAUGUCUUUAGCUUGGCACAUCGCCACCCAGAAUAAAAACUACCUUUCCCAGCUCUUCCUGCAGCUAGGGGCAGCCCUGGGAUAAAUUCUGGACAAUGAAAUACAGGCAGAAGUAAAUCAUAUACGAUUUCCAUGAAGGGACCUUAAACAGAAGUGUGCCCUUCUCUUCCCCACACAUUCCUCCUCCUGUCUGAAAUGUAGAUGCAACUGCUGGCAUUUGAGCAGC